rnacentral:rRNA from 1 species
CCAAGGAGUCUAACAUGUGCGCGAGUCGUCGGGUCUUGAACAGGCCCGCAGGCGGAAUGAAAGUGAAGGGCGACCCAGUCGUCGCCUGCGUUGGGAUCCCCGGGCCGUACGGCGUCCGGGGCGCACCAACGGCCCGUCCCGUCCGCGUCGUCGGUGGGACGGAGCGAGAGCGUACACGUUGGGACCCGAAAGAUGGUGAACUAUGCCUGGGCAGGACGAGGCCAGAGGAAACUCUGGUGGAGGUCCGCAGCGAUUCUGACGUGCAAAUCGAUCGUCAGACCUGGGUAUAGGGGCGAAAGACUAAUCGAACCGUCUAGUAGCUGGUUCCCUCCGAAGUUUCCCUCAGGAUAGCUGGCGCUCGAGGGAGUCAGUCUCAUCCGGUAAAGCGAAUGAUUAGAGGCCUUGGGGCCGAAACGACCUCAACCUAUUCUCAAACUUUCAAUGGGUGAGAAGUCCGGUUUACGUGACUGAAGCCCGGACAAUUCUCAGGAUGCGAGUGCCCAGUGGGCCACUUUU